UCCCCCCUCUAAUCAGUGAAACUGAUCUCCCCGUGAAGAAGCGGGGAUAUUUAUAUAAGACGAGAAGACCCCAUGGAGCUUUAAACCCGACAGCACCCGCCUAGCCCACGCCCCUCUAUUGACCCGGCCCCUGUCUGCUCGGUUUUAGGUUGGGGUGACCACGGAGUAUAAAAUAACCUCCACGAAGAAAGGAGUAAUAAUCCUCAUCUAAGAGCCACACCUCUAAGAGCUAAUACAUUAACUUUUAAUGAUCCGAUAUUUGAUCAACGAACCAAGUUACCCUGGGGAUAACAGCGCAAUCCGCCUCAAGAGCUCCUAUCGACAGGUGGGUUUACGACCUCGAUGUUGGAUCAGGGUAUCCCAGUGGUGCAGCAGCUACCAAAGGUUCGUUUGUUCAACGAUUAAAACCCU
rnacentral:rRNA from 1 species